ACUGGAAGCUGCUGGGACUAGUCAUGGGCAAAAGAAAUGUAUUUUGUCCACCACAGCAGUCUUCCUAGAGCAAAGCGGAGGUCUCUGUCUGCUUUAGGAGAGCCAACUAAACCAGAUCGUUCCCCUCCACACACA
rnacentral:snoRNA from 1 species